UAGUCAUAUGCUUGUCUCAAAGAUUAAGCCAUGCAUGUCUAAGUAUAAACAACUUUAUACAGUGAAACUGCAGAUGGCUCAUUAAAUCAGUUAUAGUUUAUUUGAUGGUACCUUACUACAUGGAUAACCGUAGUAAUUCUAGAGCUAAUACAUGCGCAAACAGAGUUCCGCAAGGGACUCUAGUGUUUAUUAGAUAAAAAACCAAUUCGGCUUUCGGGUCGAUUCAUAGGUGAAUCAUAAUAACUUUCGAAUCGCAUGGCCUCGUGCCGGCGAUAGA
rnacentral:rRNA from 1 species